AUAUUUGCUGGCGACCGGCGCACGGGUGCGUAACACGUAUACAAUCUGCCUUUACAGGGGGAUAGCCCGGAGAAAUCCGGAUUAAUACCCCAUAAUAGAUCGAAUGGCAUCAUUUGAUUUUGAAAGCUCCGGCGGUUAAAGAUGAGUAUGCGUCUGAUUAGCUAGUUGGUGAGGUAACGGCUCACCAAGGCGACGAUCAGUAGGGGAUCUGAGAGGAUUAACCCCCACACGGAUACUGAGACACGGAUCCGACUCCUACGGGAGGCAGCAGUAAGGAAUAUUGGACAAUGCCCGCAAGGGUGAUCCAGCCAUGCCGCGUGCAGGAAGACGGCCCUAUGGGUUGUAAACUGCUUUUACACCGGAGAAAACCUCCCCUCGUGAGGGGAGCUGAUAGUAUGGUGAGAAUAAGCAUCGGCUAACUUCGUGCCAGCAGCCGCGGUAAGACGAAGGAUGCAAGCGUUAUCCGGAUUCAUUGGGUUUAAAGGGAGCGUAGGUGGCCUUAUAAGUCAGUGGUGAAAUCUCUGGGCUUAACCCAGAAAUUGCCAUUGAUACUGUAGGGCUUGAGUACAGUUGCUGUGGGCGGAAUAUGACAUGUAGUGGUGAAAUACAUAGAGAUGUCAUAGAACACCGAUUGCGAAGGCAGCUCACAAAACUGUAACUGACACUGAGGCUCGAAAGUGCGGGGAUCAAACAGGAUUAGAUACCCUGGUAGUCCGCACCGUAAACGAUGAUUACUCGCUGCUAGAGGGCAACUUUUAGUGGCUUAGCGAAAGCGAU
rnacentral:rRNA from 1 species